rnacentral:rRNA from 1 species
GACGAACGCUGGCGGCGUGCCUAACACACGCAAGUCGAGCGGGGACACAAGGGAGCUUGCUUCCGAGUGUUCUAGCGGCGGACGGGUGAGUAACGCGUGAGCAACCUUUCUCUCAGUGGGGAAUAACACAGGGAAACUUGUACUAAUACCGCAUGAGACCACAGCAUCGCAUGGUACAGGGGUCAAAGAUUAAUCGCUGAGAGGUGGGCUCGCGUCUGAUUAGAUAGUUGGUGGGGUAACGGCCUACCAAGUCGACGAUCAGUAGCCGACCUGAGAGGGUGAUCGGCCACAUUGGGACUGAGACACGGCCCAA